CCGGCAACACGGCCUCGCCCCAGCAUCCUGGGGCUGAAUCAUGGGACCAGAGCCACUAGGAGCCGUUUGGCCACCAUCCUCUGCCGUGAGCUCUCCGCCCAGCCCUUUCAUUUCUCAGACGGGAAGACUGAGGCCCAGAGCGGGGAAGGGUCUCGCUCACAUUCACUCAACGAGGUGGGGACAAGGCUGGGAUGGGAUCCCAGGUCUCUUGCCGCGUGAUGUCACGCACAGCCAGAGCCCCGUCUCUCUCCGAGAGCCUUUUCUCUCUGCCGCUGCUGCGGCACAGGGCUGGGCACACGAGAUGGCUCGCGAAUCCUGCCGACUGCAGUUCUGAAUCACGAGCCGGAUGGUCUUUUGACAAACAGCAGGCCUCACAGGGAUGUACUGACUCAGAGGACAGAGGAGCCCAGAAUAUUCUCUAGACCCCGCAGAGAGAGCAGCGGCCUGCCUAACGUGGCCCAGAAGCCUGAUGUAAAUGCGUCUACGUUUGUAGACUUGUCUGUGUGUGUGUCCCUGUGUGUGUGUGUGUGUGUGUGUGUGUGUGUGUGUCAGGACCCAGCCCUGGGAGUCAGAAGGUCAGGAUCCCAGUUUUCCACACCCCAUGUUCUGUGUCUCCUCCUCAGUACACUGGGUAUGGUGACGCUCCAUGCAGCCACCUCCAGAGGGGCCACCCUGACCACAGAGAAAUGGAGGGGGCCUCUGAGACUCACCCACAUCGUGGGGACCCCCCCCCCCCCCGCCAUGGAGCUACCAGGGAACUUUGAGGAAACACCAGCACUGGAGCUCUGCUGGCAACCCUAACCACAGCCAAGGCCGAGAGCCCCUGGCCCGUGUCACCCAGGGUCAGGAAAGACGGGCCCAGGGCAACCACAGAGCAAAUGCUGGCUUUUCAUCCUUGAGGACAGAGGAAGGGGCCGCUGCAGGCAGUUUGCAAGGCUCAGCCGAUCCAGAGAGGGCAGAGGCGGCUCGGGAUGAACACCUGCGACUCACUGAAACACGUUAGUCCACAAGCCUCCAGAAUGGCAGCCCGGAUGGCAGCUGAGCCUUGGGACUCCCUGGGAGAAGGAAGAGGGGAGGGGGGGGGAGAAGGAGCGAACAGACAGCAGCUCCCUCCCCGCCCAGCACUGCCACGCUCGGCUCGCUCGGUGCCUGUUUCCAGGGGAUUUUUAAAUCUCCAUUUUCUGGCCGGAUGGUCGUAUGACUAAGGGCAGCUGUGCGUCUGUGAGCAAAGCUCAGUUCUGUGCGGGGGAGGUUGUGGGAGCCACAGGGAGGCCCAAAGAGCCAGGGGGACCCAAAGAGCCUGCGGAUGAAGCUCCAAUGCAAUCAAACUUGCCGAGGUCACUCCCCCUGGCCGGCACGGCGACAACAGAAACGUCCAUCAACAGGCGGAUGGACAGACAGAAGGCGGUCUUUCCACACAAAGGAGCAUCAUUCAGCCGCAAAAGAGAACGAAGCCCUGCUCCGUGCUGCAACAUGGAUGGGCCUCAAAAACGUGUCGAGUGCAAGGAACCAGACCCCCAAAGCCACAUAUCACACGAUCCCACUUCUACAAAACGUCCAGAAUAGGUUAAGUCCCAAAACACAAAGCAGGUGAGGGGUUGACAUGGGCCGGAGGGGGGAAGGGACAGGAAUGGAGGCAGCUGCCAACGAGUGUGGGGUUUAGGGGCGGGGUGAUGGCAAUGUCCUAAACGUGGCUGUGGUAUGGCUGCACCCUCCCGAAUAUCCCCAAACCCGAACUGUCCUGCGUGUGAAUCGUAUCUCGACAAAGCUUAUAUAUUUUAAACAGUGGGUGAGAAUGCGGGGCGCCCGGGUGGCUCAGCCGGUUAAGCAUCUGCAUUGCGAUUUUGGCCCAGGUCAUGAUCUCCCCGUUCGCGGGAUCAAGCCCUGCGUCUGGCUCCUCGCUGCGCGUGGAGCCUGCUGGGGAUUCACCCUUUCUUUCUCUCUUCCCCUCCCCUGCCCGUGCUCUCGUUCUCUCAAAAUAAAUAAGUAAAUAAAUUUUUUUUAGAAGAAGCUAGAAAUGACGCCUUAGUGUGCAAAUGGCAGCGGCAAUAAAAUGGUGUGAGAG